UUUGUUUUUUUUACUUCUUAGUCAAGUCGCUAGGCUUCAUAUGCUCCCAACUGUUUUGAUGAAUGAUUAAAUAGAGUUCUGAGGGACACUUCUGCUUACAGAAUUCUUUCUAAACAAAGAAGAAGAGUGCUGUAGAAUGGUUGUUUAUGAUUUAUAAUUCACCUGGUAACAAACACUGAGAGGUGUUGGCAGCAGUGCCUGCAGGCCUUCCUGUCUGACUUAUGCACUGCCUUUGGUUCAAGCAGUCAAGACAUCAAGGUGUCCAGCUGAUGAGGAUCCCAAAAGACCUGCUUUGAUAACAUUUUUUCUUGACAUCUUUCUAGAUUUAUGAAAUUAGCAGGACAACAAGCAUAGAUAACUGAGCAGCAUGUCCAGGGAUUAAAUUAGAGGAACAGAAAACUUCUACUUUCCACAUGGAUUCUCCAAGCAUCCAGAAGCACAAGGCAAGUGUGUAGGUUCAACAGAGUUUAUAACACUCUUCUCACUUAUUAUUUAUUUCUUCCCUACUAUUUUAUUAUCCUCUUCAUUUCUGGGUUUCUGAUAUAUAUCCACUCAUAUUUCUCUGGUUAGGUAUCCCAAAAACAUCAUUUAAAAUAUUUUAAGGGCUGUUAAGACAAAUGAGUUUGCAUUUUUAAGAGUGCCUGUGAAAGGCCAAUAACUGUUGUGUUCAUUUCCAAAAUGAAAAAAACAGCACUGUGGUAUUUUACCUGCCCAUCUUUUCAGAUAAGGAGACCAAGGUGGAACAGGAGUCCACACAUAGGUCUGGUUGGUCCCAAAGGCAGAUAGAGAGAGCAGGAGAAGCCAGAGAGCCUUACUCUCACAUCAUGCUUCCGUGUGCUUGUCUGCCUAAUGUCAGGCAAGCUUCCCAUCUUGUCUGCCUCCUUCUAAUAGUAACUAUUAAAUUCUGGUUAAGGCCUGACUUAAUUACUUUUAAUACUGACUAAAAUUUUAUGUAUUCAUUUUGGGAUCUACUUAAUCUUAUUUAGUUGAAGAUCUUGUUAGAAAAGGGGUGGUAACCUACAUAUUGAGGAACACCAUCAAUACUAAGUUAGUUCAUGAUGCCUUUACUUUUAGUGUAAAAGGAGAAAUAUGAAUUAAGAAGGAUGAAUUUAAAAAGUCCAUAGUCUUAUAAAAAUGACCUGACUAAUCAAAUGGAGUCUCUCAGACCAGGGUGAUAUAAACUGACCAAUCUAAUUGAUUUUAGAUGUGUCCUCAUGACAUGUAUCUGUCCUCUAUUGUCCUGACAGAAAUUGUUUAGAGCACAAACACAUCUUCGUGUCUCAACUAAAAGGAAGAGGCUGUGCGUCUGUGCUGCUGGUUAAGUCUGAAGCACCCUCUUCUCACAGACCUAGUGCCAUGCUGCAUGAGAAAUGAUUUACUCUCUGCCUGGAUACCUGCAGGGAUCCCCUCAGAAUGAGAAGAAAAGAGACUUUUUACAGAAUCCUAAAGGUAUUGGGAUUUAAGAAAUAGAUGUUAAAAAUAACCUAGAUGACAAACAUCAACACAGAAGAAAAAUAAGGACAAAGGGAUGCUAUUUCAGUCAAGACUGUAGAGAAUCACCUGAGCAAAGGAUAGACCUGUGUGCCAGACUUCAGAAUAAUGGCGUUCCAGCAUCAAGAGUGGCAAGACGCCACAGGCCUCGCCCGGAUGAGGAAAUCACUGCAGUGAACAUCCGCAAGCAAAGGCGUCUGAAGGGUUCUGUGGGACGCACGGACACACUGCACUUUCUACAACAAAACUGAGGGAGGGGGUUGCAAGGGUGGAGGGCGGGUACAAGGCGAUGGGGAAAUAAGUGGGACUGGCGUACAUGAUGUGUUAUUCACAAAGAACCAACAAAAAGGUUUUUGAAGGGGUUGGGGAUUUAGCUCAGUGGUAGAGCGCUUGCCUGGGAAGCGCAAGGCCCUGGGUUCGGUUCCCAGCUCCGAAAAAAAAGAUCCAAAAAAAAAAAAAAAAGGUUUUUGAAAAGAGAAUCUUGUGAUGACUUUGGGAAGAGCUGUCUUAGUGGAACACUAGAGAAGGAUUGCUGUGUGGGAAAAGAGAACUUCAAACAACAAAGCUACAGCUCUCUGAAAAGCACUGUUGUGAAUGGAGAGUGAUGUAUGUAUUUUUAGUUAAUAGUCACAUGUAGUCAAGGAAGGUCUAACCCACAUGGACAUAGUCAAAUGUCUCUUAAUAAAGUUACCAAGACAAUUACAAGAGAUAAGUAUGGGACUGGACAAUUAUCUAAGUGGUUAAGGGCACUUGCUGCUCUUGCCAAAGACCUGAAUUUGGUUCCCAAUUCUUUUUUUCUUUUUAAAGAUUUAUUUAUUCAUUAUAUAUAAGUACACUGUAGCUGUCUUCAGACACACCAAAAGAGGGCAUCAGAUCUCAUUACAGAUGGUUGUGAGCCACCAUGUGGUUGCUAAGAACUCAGGAUCUCUGGAAGAGCAGUCAGUGCUCUUAACCACUGAGACAUCUCUCCAGCCUGGUUCCCAACUCUUAUUAUGUUGAGCAGCUCACAACUGCCUAUAAUAUUAGUUCCAUGGAUUUAACACCCACCCUUUGCCAGGGGAAACACACAUGGCACAUACACACAGAUAUGACACAAAAAUAACAUAUACAAAUAAAUAAACAUCCAGGAAGAAGCACAGUAGAUUAACAAAUAGUACUUAAUAAUUCAUAUUAAAAAUGAAUUUCAUCCUUAUCUAUAACAAUUAACUUGAAUGAAUUACAUACUUAAAUAUUUAACAGGUCAAAUUAUAAAAUAAUAGAAAAUAAAGUCAAAAUACAGGAUAAAAAAUAAAGUCUUAUAUCCUGCUGAAAUUUAUGUUUUCAUGUUUAACAUACAACUGAAAACACUUUGUGGCCUGAAAUUAUUAGGAAGAUGUUAUAAAUCACAGGCAUGAUAAAUUUUAUACACUAUCUCCUUUUUGAAACAGGACGCUAGGAUGAAAUAAUGAGGUACUGAGAAAAAAUGUUUACCAAACAUCCAUCUAAGAAAGAAUUGUAUUGAGAAUAUAUAAAGAAUUCAAUUCAAUGAUAUGAAAAAUCUAUUUAAAAAUGGAAAAGGAAGGGUGGAGAUGGUUCAAUGGUUAAAGUGUUUGUUAUGAAAGCAAGAUGACAGAGAUUUGGAUCCGCAGAAUCUAUAUAAAUAUGCCUCUCCUGUAAUUCCAGCCUUAGAAGGCAGAAGGCAGGAACAGAGAAUCCCUGAGCAACAUGGUUAACUAGACUCUAGUAGGCUCUAGAAACAAUUGAGAGAGACUUUGUACUCCUCCCUCAGAGAGAGAGGGGGGGGGGAGACAGAAAGAGAGAGACAUAGACACAGACAGACAGAGAUCUCAACUGAUCUCAACCUCAGGCCUCUAUACACAUAUGUUCAUCCCCACAUACAACUGUACCCACAUACAUGCAAACACAUAUACUGCACACACAUACACAUGGAAAAGACAAAAACAUGAAAAAAAAGAUUUGAAUAGCUCCUUCACCAACGAAUGAACAGGAAUGAAAAGUAAGAGGGGAAAAAUAUCAUUAAACUGAAUAACUGCUUACAUUUCUCUGAGGUUUAAAAGUAAUUAUGGUCACAAGACAAAUUGAUUCUUGAGAUUUUCUUUUUUAAAAAACAGCAUCUCAUGAUAUAUUCCUGGCUGGGAUGGAACUUACUAUGUAGAGGAAUAUUACUGAACUCACAGACAUUCACUUCCACUGCCUCCAGAGUUAGAAUUAAAGGUAUGUGCCAGUAGUGGUAUAGCUGGGACUUCAGGUAGAACUAUUUCCAAUUUUUCUGAGAAACCACCAGAUUGAUUUCCAGAGUCAUACCACUUUGAAAUCCCACCAUCUAUGUACCAGUGUCCCCUUUCUCCACAUCUUCUCCAGCAUAUGUUUUUGCUUAAGUUUUUGACCUUAGCCUUUCUGAUUGGUAUAGAGUAGAAGCUCUGGGUCAUCAUGAUUUACAUUUCCCUUACUUAGGAUGUUGAACAUUUUUUUUGUUUUGUUGGACAUUUUCAUUUACAUUUCAAAUGUUACUCCCUUUCCCAGUUCUACAUUUCUACAUUUUCAUCUUAAGGCUACUAGCAGAAUGCUGGCUUCCAGGCAGCUAGGAUGAGGGUCUUAAAGCCCACACCUACAGUGACACACCUACUCCAACAGGGCCAAACCUUUUUAUAAACAUUUUUUAUUGGAUUUUUAAAUUUUACAUUUUAGAUGGUAUCCUCUUUUCCUGUUUCCCGUCCAUAAACCCCUAUGCCCCUCCCCCUUCUUUUUUGAGGGUGUUCCCCAACCCAUCCACCCAACCCUUCCGACCUCCCAGCCCUGAUAUUCCCCUGCACUGGGGGUCCAGCCUUGGCAGCACGUAGGGCUUCUCCUCCCAUUGGUGCCCAACAUAGCCAUCCUCUGCUACAUAUGCAGUUGGAACCAUGGCUCUGUCCAUGUGCACUCUUUGGAUGAUGGUUUAGUCCCUGGGAGCUCUGGUUGGUUGGUAUUGUUGUUCUUAUGGGGUUCUUAUUAUGGGGUUGCUCCCUCAGCUACUUCACUCCUUUCUCUGACUCCUCCAAUGGGGAACCCGUUCUCAGUUCAGUCGUUGACUGUGAGAGAGCUCUAACAGGUUCCUGCCAGCAUGCACUUCAUGACAUCAGCAAUAUUGUCUGGCUUUGAUGGGUGUAUGUAUAUGGGCUGGACCCCCAGGUGGGACAGUAUCUGGAUAGCCAUUCCUUUAGUCUCUCCUCCAAACUUUGUCUCUGUAUCUCCUUCUAUGAAUAUUUUUGUUCCCCCUUCUAAGAUGGACUGAAGCACCUGCACUUUGGUCAUCCUUCUUGAGCUUCAUGGGGUCUGUGGAUUGUAUCUUCAGUAAUUUGAGCUUUUGGGCUAAUAACCACUUAUCAAUGAGUGCAUACCAUGUGUGUGUGUGGUUUUUUUUGUGAUUGAGUUACCUCACUCAGAAUGAUAUUUUCUAGUUCCAUCCAUUUGCCUAUGAAUUUCAUGAAGUCAUUGUUUUUGAUAGCUGAGUAGUACUCCACUGUGUAGAUGUACCACAUUGUCUGUAUCCAUUCCUCUGUUGAAGAGCAUCUGGAUUCUUUACAGCUUCUGGCUAUUAUAAAUAAGGCUGCUAUGAACAUAGUGGAGCAUCAUUUGGGUAUAUGCCCAGGAGUGGUAUAGCUGGGUCCUCAGGUAGUACAAUGUCCAAUUUUCUGAGGAACCUCCAGACUUAUUUUCAGAGUAGUUGUACCAGUUUGCAAUUCCACCAACAGUGGAGAAGUGUUCCUCUUUCUCCACAUCCUCACCAGCAUCUGCUGUCACCUGAGUUUUAGUGUUUCUUGGACAUUUGAUUCCUCUGUUGAGAAUUCUCUGUUUAGCUUUGUAGCCCAUUUUUUUAAUUGGCGUAUUUGGUUUAUUGGAGUAUAACUUCUUGAGUUUAUAUAUUUUGGAUAUUAGUCUUCAUGAGAUGUAGACCUAAAGAACCAGCUAUAUCACUCCUGAGGAUAUACCCAAAAGAUGUUCCACAAUAUCACAAGGAUAUGUACUCCACUAUGUUCAUAGCAGCUUUAUUCAUAAUAGCCAGAAACUGGAAGCAACCAAAUGUCCCUCAACUGAAUAAUGGAUACAGAAAAUGUGGUUCAUUUACACAACAGAAUACUAUUCAGUUAUUUAAAACAAGGACAUCAUGAAUUUUGCAGGCAAAUGAAUGGAACUAGAAAAUAUAAUCCUGAGUGAAGUAACCCAGGUCCCAAAGGUCAUACAUGGUAUAUACUCACUGAUAAGUAGGCAUUAGCCAAAAAGUACAGAAUACCCAUGAUAUAUCUCAUAACUUAAGAAGUGAAAUAAGGAAGGAGGCCCAAGUGAGGAUGCUUCACACUUAG